rnacentral:rRNA from 1 species
CAGUCGCCGCGGGAAUACGUAGGGUCCGAGCGUUGUCCGGAAUUAUUAGGCGUAAAGAGCUCGUAGGCGGUCUGUCGCGUCUGCCGUGAAACCCUCAGGCUCAACCUGAGGCGUGCGGUGGGUACGGGCAGGCUAAAGUGCGGUAGGGGAGAAUGGAACUCCUGGUGUAGCGGUGGAAUGCGCAGAUAUCAGGAAGAACACCGAUGGCGAAGGCAGUUCUCUGGGCCGUAACUGACGCUGAGGAGCGAAAGCGUGGGGAGCGAACAGGAUUAGAUACCCGAGUAGUCCCUGUCUCUUAUAC